UGCGGGGUGGAGCAGUCUGGUAGCUCGUCGGGCUCAUAACCCGAAGGUCGUUGGUUCAAAUCCGAGCCCCGCAUCCA
rnacentral:tRNA from 1 species